GAGGGAAUAAGGUACCUACAUCACGAAAGCCGUAACCCAGUUGUGCAUGGUGACGUGAAACCGAGCAAUAUUCUUAUCGACGCGAAAAUGGAAGCAAAGAUUGGUGAUUUUGAAGUUGCUAGGAUUUUGACCCAACAGCGAGCUAGUCCCUCAAUGGGGAUCACCACCCCUAAUGGUUACACACCUCCUGGUAAGCAUCAGCAGUCUAUCUGCUCUAUUACUUCGUUAACUACGAUGACUAGUGCCUGGGUAGAAAAAGUUGUAGAUUGGACGUUCGUGGUGUUUCUGGCUCAUAGCAAAGUUGGUGACGCAUGUAAUAGAUUGAUUACCGACUCUUCGUUUCUAACCAAUUUGACUUCGUCUAUGUCUUUAACAGACGUUUGGGAAUCAGGAGUUCCAAGCAAGAAGGGCGAUGUGUACAGUUUCGGAAUCGUUAUGUUGGAAAUGAUAUCUGGAAGGAGUCCAGACAGACUCGAACCAGCGCAAACCCUACCUCAAUGGGUCCGUGCAACUGUAUCAAACUCCAAAGCUUUACAUAACGUACUGGACCCCCUCCUGAUGUCGGACCUUGUGGCGCAUCAACAAAAAAUGGCCAUGGUCCUGGGAGUGGCGCUUCUUUGCACUCGGAUCAAACCUGAAGAAC
rnacentral:lncRNA from 1 species